rnacentral:lncRNA from 1 species
CCAGGUGCCAGGGUGGGGUCUCUGCUUCCAGUCCUUCCUCCCGCCUCUGCUCCCAUCCUGGACAAUCUUGUUCACUUGUGUUCCUGGAUAGCUCAGCUUUGUGUGUGUGUGUUUCGGGUUGGGGGUGGGUUUGGCUGGAGUGGGUCUGGCAGGGGUUUGGGAAGGGCUAGGGGAAAGAUGGAGGAUGGUGUCUCCUACGCCCUUCCCCAACUCCAAGCCACAGAAGCCUGGGAGGGAGGGUGCCUACUCUCGCUGCCGCGUGUCUUGCAGAUGUGCCAAAAUAGGGGUGGGUGGGAGGGGAGGGUGCCUGGCAGAGCAGCCCCAGGGUGGCUCUCUCAAAGCAAUACAGUUCUCCUGCUGGGGAACAGCAAGACAGGGGAGAGGUUUGGGUGGGGACCUGGGGUUCCCCAUGUACAGCUGUGUAUAUUCAGGGGUGUUCUGUCUGGUCCCCACUGUGGGCAUCUAUGUGUGUGUGAACCCCUUCCCCAUGCCCUGCAUGACCUGUGAUGCUGCAGACACCACCAUCCUGUGUGCAGGCGUGUUGGGGGGCACGGAGGGGCAUGUUCCUGUCCCGUUGCACCCUCCACCCUGUGACCCAUGUACUCGGUUGUAGGAAGUAAAGAGAACUGAGCACAAUUCACUGGAUUCUAGUUGAAUCUUUCUCUAAGCAAUUUCCUCACUCCUGCCCUUCUCCCUAUCCUGGAUCCCCCUGUGGUGCUAGUGUUGGGGUCAGGGGUGUUUAAUGCUGGUGGGCAGCAAUAGGCCCAGAUACCUGCAUCUCCAGGGUGCUGAGGGCAGCAGAAAAAAAUGGGGACCUUGGUGCAUUUGCCCUGCCCCCCCACCUGGGCUAAAGCACAAUGCUAUCCCUGAAGACUGAUGCACCCCACAACCUCCAGGCCCUCCCCCAUGCUUGUCCUCCCCAAACCUGCUUUGAGCCCUCCCACUACACCCCGGUUUUCUAUGCUGUUUUGGUGCAAGUACAACUGUCGUAGUCAUGGCUUUGGGAUGGGUUCUGUUUAUUAAAAUCCUAUUGCUCCUACUG